AUGUCGGCGGUUAGCUGGAACAUUCCGGCGAUCCCGCGGGCGGUCCCGCCGGCGAGGUCCGGCCCGCCCGGGGAGGCCUUCCUGGUGGCCGCGCGCCCGCGGGUGGCCCGAUCCCGUGCCGCACCCAGGAGAGUCAGGCUCGCCCGGGGCGGCGUCGUCGUCGCCCACGCCGGCGCGGCGGAGGUGCUCGUGGAUGAUUCCGGGGAGGCCGCGGUGGUCUUCUCCGAGAAGUUCCCCCUCCGCCGAUGCCAAACUGUGGAAGGGAAGGCGUGGGUGAGAGUGGAGGCGGAGCCGGAUGCGGACGGCAAGUGCAAGAUCGUCAUCGGGUGCGACGUAGAGGGGAAGUGGCUGCUGCACUGGGGUGUCUCCUACCACGGUGAGACCGGCAGUGAAUGGGAUCAACCUCCUUCGGAAAUUAGACCUCCCGGUUCGGUUCCAAUCAAGGACUCUGCAAUUGAAACACCAUUGGAGACUUCACCCAAUUCAGAAGGACAUAUACUUCAUGAAGUGCAAAUCAAAUUUGAUAAGGACACUCCAAUUGCCGCUAUCUAUUUUGUCCUCAAGGAAGAGGGAACAGGUGCAUGGUUUCAACAUAAGGGUGGGGAUUUCAGAAUACCCUUAAGUGGGUCCCUCGAGGAUGGAGAUCCGUUAGGUGCAAAACAAGGAGUGAAACCUGAAGGAUCUAAUGCUCAGCUAAAAGAAGCAGUUCCUGGGGAUAAAGGUCCAAGCACAAAAUGCAUUUCAGAGUUCUAUGAGGAAUAUCCCAUCUUAAAAUCAGAGUAUUUUGAGCAUUUUGUAUCUGUUGCUGUGACGGAGAAUAGUGAAACAGAUAAAAGUCUCGUGGAAUUCUAUACUGACAUUACUGGAGAUGUUAUCAUUCAUUGGGGAGUUUGCAAAGGCAAUACCAUGACUUGGGAGAUCCCACCAGAACCGCAUCCACCAAACACGAAGAUCUUCCGACAGAAAGCUCUUCAGACCUUGCUAGAGCAAAAAACUGAUGGUACAGGCAACGCUGUAUCAUUCCUACUGGAUGCAGACUACUCAGGUCUUGUUUUCGUGCUCAAACUUAAUGAGCAUACUUGGUUGAGAAAUCUGGAGAAUGGAUUUGAUUUCUAUAUUCCUCUUACGAGGGUGGAGCAAUUUGGCAGCACUCAAGAGCCUCAUAAGGCUGGUGAACAUAAACUUGAUGAUAAGUCUGCGCAAACUGAUGGCCUAAUCAGCGAUAUAAGAAAUCUGGUGGUUGGCCUGUCGUCUAGAAGAGGUCAACGAGCAAAGAACAAAGUUCUGCAAGAAGAUAUUCUACAAGAAAUUGAGAGGUUAGCAGCUGAAGCAUAUAGCAUUUUUAGGAGCCCCACUAUUGAUGCCAUAGAAGACCCUGUUUACAUCGAUGACCCAGAAAGUGUGAAGCCAGCUUGUUCUGGCACUGGAUCUGGAUUCGAAAUAGUGUGCCAAGGAUUUAAUUGGGAGUCACAUAAGUCAGGAAAAUGGUAUGUUGAACUUGGUACAAAGGCCAAGGAGUUGUCAUCCCUGGGUUUCACCAUUGUUUGGUCACCACCACCUACUGAUUCUGUAUCACCUGAAGGAUACAUGCCAAGGGAUUUAUACAACCUAAAUUCCAGAUAUGGAACCAUGGCAGAGUUGAAGCAGCUUGUGGAUAUUUUCCAUGAAAAUGGUGUGAAGGUUCUUGGUGAUGCUGUUCUAAAUCACAGAUGUGCUCAGUUUCAGAAUCAAAACGGGAUCUGGAAUAUUUUUGGUGGGCGUAUGAACUGGGAUGACCGAGCAGUCGUUGCUGAUGAUCCACAUUUCCAGGGAAGAGGAAACAAGAGCAGUGGAGAUAACUUCCAUGCUGCACCAAACAUUGAUCACUCACAAGAUUUUGUGAGAACUGAUAUUAAAGAAUGGCUUCGCUGGAUGAGAAAGGAAGUUGGAUAUGAUGGGUGGAGACUUGAUUUUGCUCGUGGCUUUUGGGGUGGAUAUGUCAAAGAUUACAUGGAAGCAACUGAACCAUACUUUGCAGUAGGAGAGUACUGGGACUCUCUCAGUUAUACUUAUGGUGAGAUGGAUUAUAACCAGGAUGCUCACAGGCAGAGAAUUGUUGACUGGAUAAAUGCUACAAACGGAACUGCUGGUGCAUUUGAUGUCACUACUAAGGGAAUACUUCAUAUGGCACUGGAAAGAUCUGAGUAUUGGCGCUUAUCUGAUGAAAAAGGAAAACCCCCUGGAGUAUUAGGUUGGUGGCCUUCACGUGCAGUCACAUUUAUAGAAAAUCAUGACACCGGCUCUACUCAGGGUCAUUGGAGAUUUCCCUAUGGUAUGGAGAUGCAAGGCUAUGCCUAUAUCUUGACACAUCCUGGCACUCCUGCAGUCUUCUAUGAUCACAUCUUCUCACACUUACAACAAGAUAUUGCCAAAUUAAUGUCUAUCAGAUGCCGCCUAAAGAUUCAGUGCCGCAGCAAGAUCAAGAUACUGAAGGCAGAACAGAAUUUAUAUGCCGCCGAGAUUAAUGAGAAUUUACUGAUGAAGAUUGGCGCGGGACAUUUUGAACCAACUGGUCCCAUAAACUGGAUUGUUGCAGCAGAGGGACAUGAUUACAAAAUCUGGGAAGCGGCAUCCUAG
rnacentral:rRNA from 1 species